rnacentral:rRNA from 1 species
AGUCAGAGGCGAUGAAGGACGUGCUAAUCUGCGAUAAGCGUCGGUAAGGUGAUAUGAACCGUUAUAACCGGCGAUUUCCGAAUGGGGAAACCCAGUGUGUUUCGACACACUAUCAUUAACUGAAUCCAUAGGUUAAUGAGGCGAACCGGGGGAACUGAAACAUCUAAGUACCCCGAGGAAAAGAAAUCAACCGAGAUUCCCCCAGUAGCGGCGAGCGAACGGGGAGCAGCCCAGAGCCUGAAUCAGUGUGUGUGUUAGUGGAAGCGUCUGGAAAGGCGCGCGAUACAGGGUGACAGCCCCGUACACAAAAAUGCACAUGCUGUGAGCUCGAUGAGUAGGGCGGGACACGUGGUAUCCUGUCUGAAUAUGGGGGGACCAUCCUCCAAGGCUAAAUACUCCUGACUGACCGAUAGUGAACCAGUACCGUGAGGGAAAGGCGAAAAGAACCCCGGCGAGGGGAGUGAAAAAGAACCUGAAACCGUGUACGUACAAGCAGUGGGAGCACGCUUAGGCGUGUGACUGCGUACCUUUUGUAUAAUGGGUCAGCGACUUAUAUUCUGUAGCAAGGUUAACCGAAUAGGGGAGCCGAAGGGAAACCGAGUCUUAACUGGGCGUUAAGUUGCAGGGUAUAGACCCGAAACCCGGUGAUCUAGCCAUGGGCAGGUUGAAGGUUGGGUAACACUAACUGGAGGACCGAACCGACUAAUGUUGAAAAAUUAGCGGAUGACUUGUGGCUGGGGGUGAAAGGCCAAUCAAACCGGGAGAUAGCUGGUUCUCCCCGAAAGCUAUUUAGGUAGCGCCUCGUGAAUUCAUCUCCGGGGGUAGAGCACUGUUUCGGCAAGGGGGUCAUCCCGACUUACCAACCCGAUGCAAACUGCGAAUACCGGAGAAUGUUAUCACGGGAGACACACGGCGGGUGCUAACGUCCGUCGUGAAGAGGGAAACAACCCAGACCGCCAGCUAAGGUCCCAAAGUCAUGGUUAAGUGGGAAACGAUGUGGGAAGGCCCAGACAGCCAGGAUGUUGGCUUAGAAGCAGCCAUCAUUUAAAGAAAGCGUAAUAGCUCACUGGUCGAGUCGGCCUGCGCGGAAGAUGUAACGGGGCUAAACCAUGCACCGAAGCUGCGGCAGCGACGCUGAUGCGUUGUUGGGUAGGGGAGCGUUCUGUAAGCCUGCGAAGGUGUGCUGUGAGGCAUGCUGGAGGUAUCAGAAGUGCGAAUGCUGACAUAAGUAACGAUAAAGCGGGUGAAAAGCCCGCUCGCCGGAAGACCAAGGGUUCCUGUCCAACGUUAAUCGGGGCAGGGUGAGUCGACCCCUAAGGCGAGGCCGAAAGGCGUAGUCGAUGGGAAACAGGUUAAUAUUCCUGUACUUGGUGUUACUGCGAAGGGGGGACGGAGAAGGCUAUGUUGGCCGGGCGACGGUUGUCCCGGUUUAAGCGUGUAGGCUGGUUUUCCAGGCAAAUCCGGAAAAUCAAGGCUGAGGCGUGAUGACGAGGCACUACGGUGCUGAAGCAACAAAUGCCCUGCUUCCAGGAAAAGCCUCUAAGCAUCAGGUAACAUCAAAUCGUACCCCAAACCGACACAGGUGGUCAGGUAGAGAAUACCAAGGCGCUUGAGAGAACUCGGGUGAAGGAACUAGGCAAAAUGGUGCCGUAACUUCGGGAGAAGGCACGCUGAUAUGUAGGUGAAGUCCCUCGCGGAUGGAGCUGAAAUCAGUCGAAGAUACCAGCUGGCUGCAACUGUUUAUUAAAAACACAGCACUGUGCAAACACGAAAGUGGACGUAUACGGUGUGACGCCUGCCCGGUGCCGGAAGGUUAAUUGAUGGGGUUAGCGCAAGCGAAGCUCUUGAUCGAAGCCCCGGUAAACGGCGGCCGUAACUAUAACGGUCCUAAGGUAGCGAAAUUCCUUGUCGGGUAAGUUCCGACCUGCACGAAUGGCGUAAUGAUGGCCAGGCUGUCUCCACCCGAGACUCAGUGAAAUUGAACUCGCUGUGAAGAUGCAGUGUACCCGCGGCAAGACGGAAAGACCCCGUGAACCUUUACUAUAGCUUGACACUGAACAUUGAGCCUUGAUGUGUAGGAUAGGUGGGAGGCUUAGAAGUGUGGACGCCAGUCUGCAUGGAGCCGACCUUGAAAUACCACCCUUUAAUGUUUGAUGUUCUAACGUUGACCCGUAAUCCGGGUUGCGGACAGUGUCUGGUGGGUAGUUUGACUGGGGCGGUCUCCUCCUAAAGAGUAACGGAGGAGCACGAAGGUUGGCUAAUCCUGGUCGGACAUCAGGAGGUUAGUGCAAUGGCAUAAGCCAGCUUGACUGCGAGCGUGACGGCGCGAGCAGGUGCGAAAGCAGGUCAUAGUGAUCCGGUGGUUCUGAAUGGAAGGGCCAUCGCUCAACGGAUAAAAGGUACUCCGGGGAUAACAGGCUGAUACCGCCCAAGAGUUCAUAUCGACGGCGGUGUUUGGCACCUCGAUGUCGGCUCAUCACAUCCUGGGGCUGAAGUAGGUCCCAAGGGUAUGGCUGUUCGCCAUUUAAAGUGGUACGCGAGCUGGGUUUAGAACGUCGUGAGACAGUUCGGUCCCUAUCUGCCGUGGGCGCUGGAGAACUGAGGGGGGCUGCUCCUAGUACGAGAGGACCGGAGUGGACGCAUCACUGGUGUUCGGGUUGUCAUGCCAAUGGCACUGCCCGGUAGCUAAAUGCGGAAGAGAUAAGUGCUGAAAGCAUCUAAGCACGAAACUUGCCCCGAGAUGAGUUCUCCCUGACCCUUUAAGGGUCCUGAAGGAACGUUGAAGACGACGACGUUGAUAGGCCGGGUGUGUAAGCGCAGCGAUGCGUUGAGCUAACCGGUACUAAUGAACCGUGAGGCUUAACCUU